rnacentral:rRNA from 1 species
GACAGAGGGUGCAAACGUUGUCCGGAAUCAUUGGGCGUAAAGCGCGUGUAGGCGGCCCGGUAAGUCCGCUGUGAAAGUCCAGGGCUCAACCCUGGGAUGCCGGUGGAUACUGUCGGGCUCGAGUCCGGAAGAGGCGAGUGGAAUUCCUGGUGUAGCGGUGAAAUGCGCAGAUAUCAGGAGGAACACCAAUGGCGAAGGCAGCUCGCUGGGACGUGACUGACGCUGAGACGCGAAAGCGUGGGGAGCAAACAGG